GAAUUAGUAUGAUUAGUUAUACAGUUUCUUCAAUUGUGUUCUGUGUCGGUUAAUGCUAAUAUCGCAUUGCGGAGUCAAAUAUAUAGGUUUUAACGUUUGUUAUCUUUGAACUUAUUUUUAUUUUAUUUUUAAAAAAUGUGGUUUUUGUAUGCCUUAAUUUGGAACUUGGGAAUUAAUUUAGUUUAAACUUUAAAUGGUGAGAAGUGCAAAAUGAAGAGAAAUCGAGGUAUCAUGGAAUGAAUAAAAGCGAAUUGUUGCUGCGACAUUGGCCUUCUGAUAGAUAGCUACAAUGAUAUCUUUCUCCUCUAUGAUAAUCUGUGUUUCAAUCAUAUACUCAAUCUUUUUAUGUGUCUUGUUUUGAUCACAAAUUAUGACACUUAGGCACAAUGUUGAUGUGUUUGGAUCAAACUAGGCUUGCUCACGACAUGUUAACUCUGGAUUAUUUUAAGGCUGUUCUUUGCUUGUUUGGCCCAUCAGGGCAACACAUACUUGUGGCUUUUCAUCAUUGGCUUAGGAUGGACGAUGGUGGUUGAUGAUUUGAUACCCAAAGCAGUUUUGGUUCCGCAAUUUUCUAGGAAGGGGAAUAUCAACUCUGCGGUAGCUUGGUCUUUAUCCCUGCCAUGCUUUUUGAAGUGUUAUCUGUAUUUCUGUGCUCUCACUUUGAAAACCCGAAGGACUUGGUUAUUAUGCCUUUGUUAAUAUUUUGAUGUAACAUUAGAUAGAGUUGAGUGUCCGAUCUAACUAUAUGCGAUACCCCAUUGGGUGUUACACUAUAGUCUAUAAUAGAUCAUUUUGCUGAUCUAUGUAAGAAAACAUGAGUAAUCAUUCAGUGAUUGAAUUGGUGGACUGUGUACUAAAGUACCAAAGUUCAUUUGCUCA